UUCUCCCCUUUCCCAUUUCUUUCGUUUUUCUCUCCUUUUGCCUCCCCUUUCUGUUUUCUCCCCUUUCGCCUCCCAAUCUCCGAACUCCUUGAACUCCCUUCUCCAGACGACGACGAGGUCCAUCAUCGGCACUGCCCCCUCAUGGUCAUCUCCCCACUCCAAUGCCUCCCGUACCUCUUGUACUACACGACGAACGGGCUACGACCACUGUUUGGAGUCUGCCACUGAAGCCUCCAAAUCUCGCCUUUCCCAGAUUCGUUCCACCUCUUAUCCUCAUUUCCAGAAGGCAAUUGAAAUUACAUAUUACUGCAUGCUUGAUGGGCUUCAAAGCUGUACAAGCCAAGGUGUAAAGUAGAAACACUCUAGUAGUUCUUCUGUCUUCCUUUCUUUCUCUACUUGCAUACUGAAAAUGAGUACUUCUUUCCCUAAAAAAAAUGCUUAAUAGAGAAGUGUUUCAAAAGAGAUAUAUUGUAUCUGAUUUGUUUUCAUGUGUAGGAUGUAAUGCUCUACGGAGUAUCAGAUGCAACAAUCAUACUCAUUGGUUUGGGAGGUUUUGUUGCUUGCAAUACACUUUAAGAAACAAUGAUUCUACCAAAGCUUCACGGCCUUGGGAUAUUGUAAUGUUAGCUUCAUUUUUUUUUUCUCUAGUUAUCUAAAUCAUAGUUUUUGAGUUAACAAAAAAUUUUCCUACAAAUAAAUAAAAUACCAGCAAUGAAGAUAGAAAGUCUUAAAUUUGGGUUAAUUUUCUUAUCUAAAAUUUUUAAUCUUAACUUGCAAAAAGGUGGAAUAAGGAGUUACAGGAUUUGGUAGUUUUUUUUCACAGGAAAAUAUAAUAAUUUCUAUUUUUUGUGGUUUUAUAUGUCGUUUCUCUAAAGAAUGAACAAAAUAGAAGUAAAUGGUGUAUAUACUUCUACUGUGGUUUUUAUGAUAGGAUCUAAGUAUAUUAGCUUCUACAAUUACUUACUAGGUUCUCAUAAUACUCAGUUAUUCAGGUACAAAAUUUAGGAUACGUGUUUUACAGUGUACUUUAGGAAGCUAAUGAAGCAUUUAAUUAUUUGUAUUACCUUAUCAAUACUAUAUAGUAUCUAGCUACUAUUUCUGUUUUUUUUUUCAGCUCCAUAACAUAACCUCACUCACAAGUCUUGUGUGUUGUGAAUGCAAUUACUUGGUGUUCUAUUCUUCAAUGUUUCUUAUUGUUUAUUUGUCAUGAGAAUAUUGGUGUUCUAUUCUUCAAUGUUUUUCUGUUUUGUAGGUUUAAUCAUGCUCUAAGGUCGGUUGCCAAUAUUAUAUAAACUUCACAUAUAUGACUCAUAUUUAACUGAUCUUAGGCAAAAUAUUAUUUCUUUUUUCUUUAUUUCUUGGUGAGAGAUGUUUGCUAUCAUUUGUGAAUGUGUAUUCUACCAUGGUGGUGACUCCUGAAGAAUAUCUUUAGUUGACUCCAUAGUAAGCAACUAUAAUUUUGCUGGCACAUCAUGCCAAAUAUUUUCAUUCAUACAUCCUGUCUUCUUUGGGGAUAUUGCAUUUAGGUACCUAUUAUCUUUUAUGCUAUGAGUUGGUCUAAAUGUACAUUUUGUUGUCUCCAUUAGACUAAGGAUCCACUAUCUUUUCAUUGUAGAUAAUAUAUCGGUCCUCGAAAAUGUUCUGCUUAGUUUUCUUGAUAAUUUAUGUUGCAGACUUAUGAUGGAAUGAUUAUUGGAGAACAUUCUAGGGAAUCAAAUCUAGAUGAAGUAAAGAAAACUUACCAAUAUCCGUUCUGCUUGCAAAGAUGAAAACCUGAAGCUAUCUCCACCUCGACUUAGAUGAGCCUUGAAGAAGUGAUAGGAUAAGUUGCAUCUGAUGAACUUAUUAAGGCUACUUUGGUUGAUUCCUUUCUAGCAGAUCUUGAUGAACUCUCUGAUGAAGACAAGUUUCAGGUUCAACUGGAGUUGACAACUUCAUGACUUUACUUUCAAAGAAAAUUUUCAGAGACGAACAUUCUCGGUUGGUCGUUUAUGCUUUAGCAUAAAAUCUUGUUAUAUGUAUUCUGAUGCUAUUUAAAAUAUUUUUUGAUUAAGGGCCGGGAUUUCGUACUUGUAAAUUGUUGGAACUUGAUUGGAAAUGUACGAAUAUUAUAAAUUGUAUUAUAGCGUAUAUAUUUAAGUGUCGUCUAUUUUUUUCUA